GUCUGCCUAGCUUGUGCUGAGUUCCUGGGGUUCAGUUGAUCUGGUUUUUCUUUUUUUCUUCUUUUUCUGGGAAUGCCCAUGAAACCACUCUAAAACACAUUAGCAACCUUGGUUUCUAUUAAGGGUCAUUCGCUCUAUUUCUCUCUUUCCUUGACUAGAAUCAAAUAGGAAUAGAGCUGGUUGGGGGAGGAAAAAGAUAUGCAGUAGCUGGAUUACAUGCUAUCCUUCUAGGUAAUGAACCUGAGGUUUUGGCUUACACUAUUAAGUGCAGUUUAAACCUGGUGUUAAGACUUGGUUCCAGUGCAGUGAGAAUGGGAGUUUUGGCCCCCCCACCUUGAGAGAGGGUGGGAAGUCUCCAACCCACUUCACAGAAUUUGUCUUCAGUUCCCUGUGUGGUCUGGUGAUGGACAACUAUUUUCAUUCUUAUCAAAAUGAUCGAAUUUACAAUCAAUAAAAUGUAUACCCCAGUUUUCAUACAAAAGUUUUUUGGGCAUCUUGCAUAACAUAAAAAGUUUUAUGAAUGCCUUCCAACUAGGAUAUCUUUAACAUCAGUUUUUGGGAGACUUAUUUCAGUACACCAAAGUGUUUUGUAUGCUGGUCUUGAAGAGAGUGUUUUAAUGGCUCUGAUGAUAUUUGUGUUGAGCUGGAGAAGUGUCAAGAUAAUCUGGUUAGUUCCACGUUCGUUUAAUAAUUUCAGAUUAAAAAUCACAUCUCUCCGUGAAAACAUUAAUUCCAAAUGAAAAACAUCUGGGUUCAGAAUGGAGAGUUUUAGAGGGCUUUUUAACAUAUUAAAUAAAUAACAAACUUGUGAGGAUAAACCAAGUUUCUUUUGAAGCUAGGUUUUUUUCAUACUAAGUCAUCAGGAAAAUAAUUAUUCCUCUUUAUGCUGCAAGGAGUUUAUUUAUUUAUCACAUUUCUUCAUCGCCCAUCUCGGCAAACAACAUGCCACAAACUCAUUCUCUGUGGGAUGGUAUUAUGUAGUAAUAAAACUCAUGAGUGAUGGGGCCAUACUAUUUUGAUUGGAGACAAAAUUGGCUGUUGUAUUAUUUGGAAUGACUUGCCCAUCCUUUAAUCAAAGGCCAAGACUUGAUUUGAGCAAUUAUUUAAUAGCUCUGUCAAUGCUGCCUGGUUUCCUCUGACUUUCUAAGAAGUUUAUCCUCCUGCCUUGGUUGGUAGUAGUAAUCUAUUGAAUUGUACUUUGCUGAAAUCAGUAAUGCAUUUCUAAAUUGUAAAUUAAAACUCACAUGAGUGAAUUAACAUUCAGAUUUCUGGCUUGGUUUCCAGCUCUGCAUAAGUGCCUGUCUCUAAGACCAGCAUAUUUUAUCUCCUUUGAGUAAUUUAAGGCUACUUCAAAUAUGUGUUUCUUAUUGGCUGGGGACUCUGCAUAAGAAAACUGUGAAAUCUGCAGGUGGACUAUUGUCUGUGACAAACCACAUAAUGUGUUUACAGUUUCCUUAUCUGGAAGUGCUCUGUGUUCCACCUUCAUAAAUUUUAAAGUACCCUCACUCGGCCAAUGGGUACCCAGGGCUGGCAGAUGAUUCCUACAGAACUCAUUGUGCUAUUGUGUUUGUGUCAGUGCAAUGCAAAUGAAACAAAAGCGAAUGCACAAAAACACUUGUCUUACCAUCUGACCAAUUUACAGGCCAUGGGUUCUAACGAAGAAGGUUCAAAAAUAAUACAAUGAGUGUCAAAACUGCAACUUCAAGGUGCAGCUAAGGCUUCUGCCGGGUUACUAAGCAAAAGUUGAUGAUAAAGAGACUCUGUCUCACUUGUGCACUCUCCUCACAGAAUGGUCUCGCAAAGGUAAAUGAAUCCAUGCACCCAAAUUUCCACCAGUACUUUGUGAAAAGCAAAUUUGUAUUUUAAUGUCUGCUGAGUUACUAUUUCUAGAAAAACAUAGGUUGCCCACCCUGCAUGCCAGCCUCUCAGCCAGUUCAUAAAGACAUGUUGACUGUUUGGAUGUCCAAAGGGGACAGGGCUGCACUGUCAGCUCCUGGGUUUAUGACAUGUGUAGAGCCACUCCAGACUGGCACCGCAGGGGGCUUGUGCCGCAAACCUCCAGCAGGGUCUGAUGGAAACAGGCUGGGAUAGUACAGUUAUGAGGAUCUGCCCUUUGGGAGUUGUCAUUCUUCAAUGUGUUGUCAUGUCAAUCCAUUGAAGGCCUCCCCAUCAGCUGAUCUUGAAUUUUGCAUAUAAUUACUGCUGCAGAUAUCAGGCCAUUAUAAACUGCUAUGGAAUUCUUGGGGCUCCUUUUUAUCCCUUUUGAUUGGGGUGGAAAGAUGCCUUUAAUUUCUUCACAUCAGUUUACUUGGGCAGUUCCUUCCAGUUAGCCAACAUUUAUUAUUGGUAUAUGCAUUCAUAAUCAUUAAUAUUCCUGAAAUCAUUCACUGUUGUCGCUAGCUAGUAUUUCCCAGUUCUAGUACGUAUACUAGGAAUAAUUAUUUGUGUGUCACUUGGUCCUCAAGAAUAAAGAACUAAUAACUUUACAGGGAAACAUCCAGUAUUAAGUUUGGUAUCUGCAGCAGUCCAUGUCAGAAGUUAGCUCAGGUCCUUUACGCCAUUUUGUGUUUUUACAAUAUUGAAUCUCAGAAUGAUUUCUUGAUGUUACCAUGUGCUAAAAGUCUUGAACCCUGUUUCUCUCGGUCCACAGUUGAAAUCCAUCCCUGGAAAAGCAUAAGUAUUGGCCCAGGCAAGCGGGCCAAGUACCAGACACUGGUAAAAAUACCCAAACAAGUUUAAAAGCAAAAACUUAAGUGUGGCCCACUUGAUUAUUUCACCUGCCUCUUCAGCGCUUCUUCUAUGUUAGAAGCGAACCUGCAUCUGGACCCCUGCAGCACUCUUACUAUACCAGCUGUGAGGGACACAGCCUUGGACUUUGGGACUUGUGCCUUCUGCACAGUGGAGGCCUUUUUCUGUGGUUACAUUGUCUGUAAUGGUUUUUGUUGGCCUGUAAACAUUUAAUUUUUGUUUUGGGGAGGGGGCAGCAUAAUAUAUAGAUGAUAUCUGAAUCAGGGAUAUCUGUAGGUCCCAACGUUUCUAGGAAACUGAUAAUUAAAGGUCUCUGCUUCUUGUUGGGUCCUCUGAUCUUGGUUUGUAAUCUCUUAAUAGUGCUGAACACAUGCUAAUGGGGUUGCAUGGAUACUGAGGUGGCAGGCCUCCUUCUCUGAAACCAUCCUACUUGAGUGAUAAUGGACCUGGAGGCUUUUCCUUCAUUCUUGCUACUGUGGCUCAAACUUGGGAAAAGACAUUGGCAGAACCCUGUGCAGGAUAUGGCUCAGAGACAAGUUUUUCAAGUUUGUCUUUAAUUCUACAUAAUAACCACAGUGGGAUUAUUUCACUGGGACUGGGGCCUGGAAAUGAUGGGUUGGGUGGGUGUGGAAGUGUUUGUGCUGCCUCAGCUGGUGUUUUUGCCAGUGAGUUUAGUGUUUAAUUCAGUGCAGCUGUUCAGAGCUUGCAUUACUGCUGGCUGGGGAAAACAUUUGAACUAAUUCCCACAGUCUAGAAGUCAUUUAUGCAGAAGGCCUUUCACAUGUAGCUGGAGCUUGUAAUUGAUCUGCUUCCUGCCUAUUUUGGAAUAAAAGCUGGGAUUGUUUCAUGCAGUCUAAUUUUCAUCCUAUCCUGGGGAGGUAAGAGGCUAAAGUCAUUAAAGGGCAAUGUAACUAUGAUUCAAGGAUUGCCAGUAUGUUAACGCCAACUCUGACAGCUGCCUCAUGAAGUACUCCAGAACAUUGUUGAUAUUAGAAAUUGGGUAAACUGUUCUAAUGAAAUCAUGUGCCAAAUCAUGGAUGCAAAAAGUCUGUAUCUUAAGCUGUGUACAGUGCUAAGGGAAAUUUUCAGCUAAUCUGUAUCUAGUCAGCAGUUGGGUGGGAACCUGUAUUUGAAACCCCAAAGUGGUUUCCAGUGGGCCCAGCAGCUGAGCUCCUUUAACGUGCUGCCUUAUCAAAGUGAGCAGGUGUUGAGUGUUGACUAGCAAGCUUCUGGUACAUUGAUCUUAAAUGUGGGUGGAAAGGACACUGUUUCUAGUAGAAACUCCUGUAGGUCUUACAUGGAUUUAAAUUUUGCUGCUUACUGGCUGUCUGCCAUUGACUUAAAAACCAACCAGUGUUAUUGGCUACUGUUAAAUGCAGUUUGCUGCACAGCUUUGCUGUUGCCCAUCUGAGGGAAGAAAAAAAGAUUCUGAAGGUCCUGCUGUUUGAGGGCUCUCAGUUGGCCAUUGAAAAGCUGUUCUGUAGCUUGGUGGUGUGGGUGGGUGUGGGCUCCAGGCCGUGCAAAGUUACUGGUAAAGGGCUGUGACUGCACUUUGAGUUAAUGCUUCUACAGGUGAUGACCACAAGACACAGAGAAAUUAAAGCUGACGGCCUUGUUGAGCGUA